rnacentral:rRNA from 1 species
GACGAACGCUGGCGGUGUGCUUCACACAUGCAAGUCGAACGAGGUAGCAAUACCUAGUGGCGGACGGGUGAGUAACGCGUGGGAAUCUGCCUUUAGAUGGGGGAUAACGGGCCGAAAGGUACGCUAAUACCGCAUAUGCCGCAAGGUGAAAGGAGUAAUCCGUCUAAAGAUGAGCCCGCGUCCGAUUAGCUAGUUGGUAGAGUAAGAGCCUACCAAGGCGACGGUCGGUAGCUGGUCUGAGAGGAUGAUCAGCCACAAUGGGACUGAGAAACGGCCCAUACUCCUACGGGAGGCAGCAGUGGGGAAUUUUACGCAAUGGGGGAAACCCUGACGUAGCGACACCGCGUGAGCGAAGAAGCCCUUUGGGGUGUAAAGCUCUGUCAGCUGGAACGAAAACAAUGACGGUACCAGCAGAGGAAGCAUCGGCUAACUACGUGCCAGCCGCCGCCGUAA